UUAACUCAUAUUUGUAUGGAAUGGGAUCGUUUGCCUACGUUUGUCGCUAGGGGCGCUGUUCCAACUGCAUACAAAAUUGGGUUA
rnacentral:pre_miRNA from 1 species